GUGGGGAAUAUUGGACAAUGGGCGAAAGCCUGAUCCAGCCAUGCCGCGUGUGUGAAGAAGGUCUUCGGAUUGUAAAGCACUUUAAGUUGGGAGGAAGGGCAGUAAGUUAAUACCUUGCUGUUUUGACGUUACCGACAGAAUAAGCACCGGCUAACUUCGUGCCAGCAGCCGCGGUAAUACGAAGGGUGCAAGCGUUAAUCGGAAUUACUGGGCGUAAAGCGCGCGUAGGUGGUUUUGUAAGUUGGAGGUGAAAUCCCCGGGCUCAACCUGGGAACUGCUUUCAAAACUGCUGAGCUAGAGUACGGUAGAGGGUGGUGGAAUUUCCUGUGUAGCGGUGAAAUGCGUAGAUAUAGGAAGGAACACCAGUGGCGAAGGCGACCACCUGGACUGAUACUGACACUGAGGUGCGAAAGCGUGGGGAGCAAACAGGAUUAGAUACCCUUGUAGUC
rnacentral:rRNA from 1 species